AAUCGAUUCGAAAUUAUUUUCGAAAUAAUAAUUUCGUUGUAAUAAUAAAAUAAAGUUACUGAACGCAUCUAUUCACAGUCUUACGGGCAAUGUUGGUAUAACGUUUGUAUUCGGUGUCAUCUGCCAUUCGGUGCGUGGUUCGUUUAUCGCUAUUUUAUCAGCAUUGCCAAAAAAGUCUUCCUUUAUCAUAUGGCAUUUAAAAAAUUGGACGAAAGAAAAUGUGAGAGACCAAAAUGAAUGCAGAGAGACUGCCACCAUUGGAAUCUUUGACUACUGUGGAGGAAACAGUGAUCCGACAGAGCUGUGGAGAGAGAGAGAGAGAGAGAGA